GAUGAACGCUAGCGGGAGGCCUAACACAUGCAAGCCGAGCGGUAUUGUUUCUUCGGACAUGAGAGAGCGGCGUACGGGUGCGUAACACGUGUGCAACCUGCCUUUAUCUGGGGGAUAGCCUUUCGAAAGGAAGAUUAAUACUCCAUAAUAUAUUGAACGGCAUCGUUUAAUAUUGAAAGCUCCGGCGGAUAGAGAUGGGCACGCGCAAGAUUAGCUAGUUGGUGAGGUAACGGCUCACCAAGGCGAUGAUCUUUAGGGGGCCUGAGAGGGUGAUCCCCCACACUGGUACGGAGACACGGACCAGACUCCUACGGGAGGCAGCAGUGAGGAAUAUUGGUCAAUGGGUGCAAGCCUGAACCAGCCAUCCCGUGUGAAGGACGACUGCCCUAUGGGUUGUAAACUUCUUUUGUAUAGGGAUAAACCUACCCUCGAGAGGGUAGCUGAAGGUACUAUACGAAUAAGCACCGGCUAACUCCGUG
rnacentral:rRNA from 1 species